GGUAACGUGGGUAACCCAUCACGCAGUACCGAACACCGGUCGAUUCCAUGGGUUGGAUCUCGAACAGUAAACCUCCCGCUCCAUGUAAUAGUCGGCAAACCAAUCCUACAGCCAAACAAACCUGUAAACAGCAGCAAGUCGCUUAUCAGAACAUUGCAAGGAAGAUGAGGAGAAAAUUACUUCCAGGGAUCUCAUUUGAGAUUGAAGAGGCAGUUGCAGUCCAAGAGCAACCUCAAGACUGUUCACAGGAAAAACAGAACCAGCUUUGAGGAGGACAAGGAUUCCCAUGUCCUGGGAACAUUCUGAUAAAAAGCCACAGCAGAUGUGAAGUCAAGAUUAUCGAUUUGGCAAGUAGCUGUUUCGAGACAGACCGUCUUUGCUCUUAUGUCCAAGCUAGGUCCUACAUCGUGCCCCAGAAAUCAUCCUAGGAUUUCCAUAGGACAAAAAAAGACAGACAUUUGGCCGCUUGGUUUUGCAUUUUGGCAGAACUCUGUACUGGCUGGCAACGCAAGUGUUUUGCGUAUCCAUUGACUUUUCAGACAACAAUCAUAGCUGGCUAACAAGAUAUAACUUGUGUCUGCGUUUGCAGGUUCUUUUCCAAGCAGGAAAGGAGUAACAGAACCGAUUAUGUAUGUAAUGUGUGACGGAAUUAGAGAAAAAAAGAUUAUAUUUGAAGCCAUUCUUUAUCAAGUUGCACGGAAGACCGAGGAACCUGAAGCUUGGUGGUCACAGGGCGAGCAUUCAUACAUAGUUCUUGUUGACCGAAACCGUGCUCAGGUUCCAUCCAGAUGGUGACAAAGGAUUCCUGGUCGAGCCUGGGAUUGCCGUCAAGCAUCAGCUCGUCAUUGAUCACUUAAUAGGCUGCAUCUUUCUGCAUAUACUUUCUGGGCAUCUUGAAACUGAUACACACAUCCAUUGUAACAUCAAAAACUGAAAGCAGACAGAAUCGAGAAAGAGAUCGAACCACCUGGGAACAAGACAGCAGCAUAGACAUCUAUGGAAGAAUGCAGAGUCGGAGGACAGCACCAU